GAUGAACGCUGGCGGCGUGCCUAACACAUGCAAGUCGAACGAAGCGCUUCCGCUAGAUUUUCUUCGGAGAUGAAGGCGGCUGCGACUGAGUGGCGGACGGGUGAGUAACGCGUGGGCAACCUGCCUUGCACUGGGGGAUAACAGCCAGAAAUGGCUGCUAAUACCGCAUAAGACCGAAGCGCCGCAUGGCGCAGCGGCCAAAGCCCCGGCGGUGCAAGAUGGGCCCGCGUCUGAUUAGGUAGUUGGCGGGGUAACGGCCCACCAAGCCGACGAUCAGUAGCCGACCUGAGAGGGUGACCGGCCACAUUGGGACUGAGACACGGCCCAGACUCCUACGGGAGGCAGCAGUGGGGAAUAUUGCACAAUGGGGGAAACCCUGAUGCAGCGACGCCGCGUGAAGGAUGAAGUAUUUCGGUAUGUAAACUUCUAUCAGCAGGGAAGAAGAUGACGGUACCUGACUAAGAAGCCC
rnacentral:rRNA from 1 species